UACGUAGGGUGCUAGCGUUGUCCGGAAUUAUUGGGCGUAAAGAGCUCGUAGGCGGUGUGUCGCGUCGGCCGUGAAAACCUGCAGCUUAACUGUGGGCUUGCGGUCGAUACGGGCAUCACUGGAGUUCGGCAGGGGAGACUGGAAUUCCUGGUGUAGCGGUGAAAUGCGCAGAUAUCAGGAGGAACACCGGUGGCGAAGGCGGGUCUCUGGGCCGAUACUGACGCUGAGGAGCGAAAGCGUGGGGAGCGAACAGG
rnacentral:rRNA from 1 species